rnacentral:rRNA from 1 species
UACGUAGGGAGCGAGCGUUGUCCGAAGUUACUGGGCGUAAAGCGCGCGUAGGCGGGGGAUUAAGUGAGAAGUGAAAGGCUGGGGCUCAACCCCAUGCAGUGCUCCUCAUACUGGUUCUCUUGAGGGCGGCAGGGAGAAGUGGAAUGGCUGGUGUAGCGGUGAAAUGCGUAGAUAUCAGUCGGAACACCGGUGGCGAAGGCGGCUUCUUGGGCCGUACCUGACGCUGAGGAGCGAAAGCCAGGGGAGCGAACGGG